GUCACAGCUACGCGGGGAAAGCAGCAUCUUCCCUAUCCCUCAGCCGCCAGCGGCGGCGCCGCCCUGACCCUCCUGUGUGCGUCUGAACGAACCUUGGACUGCUGGAAACGAGAGACUUGGAGGCAGAGAGGCGAUGCACCUCUGGAGGCAAUGCUCAUGGUUGGUAGGGCUUGUGAUCGUGUGACAAGGGGAUAGCGUUCCCGUCCUUGUCACACAGGACUCCGCGCGAAUCCCCGACGUUGGCCACGCCAGCGGGAGUUAUAUUCACAGAAACUCCAGCUAUCACAAAGAUUCCUUGCAUGGGCUUUGGACCAGAUGUCACAGUUUCACUCAUAUUUUCGAACAGAAAGAUGGCAAGUUGACCAGAGAAGCACAGGGUUGAGUUUUCACCUCUGUUGGUAAUUUACAUCUGAUUAUUUAUUUUUAAAAAAGGUGCCUCCACAGCUGGGGUGCUUUGGAAGAAGCACUUGGGGCCAGCGAUGAUGCUCAACCAACACCAGCGUUACAAAGCACCGUGUCUCUGCUCGGAUGUUUUAAUUUAAUUUUUAAUGACGCAGUUUUAAUGAAGCUGCUGGCAACGGAGCAUUCCAGCACUGCCCGCCAUCAGCGGCGCCCUGAGCCCUGGUUUUGCUCCUGAGGAGCUGUAUUAAGGUUUAAGUUUAUGCUCCGUGGUCUUAAAGCUCAAUUCUCAUAGCUGCCGCGUGUUGUGUCGCUGUCCAAACCCAGAAUUAAAACCCGUGUUUUGCAGUUCCCAUGUCAGUAGUUGAAUAUCCCAUGACUGGUAUAAAUAAAAUAGCCAGUAAUA